CUAAAAUGGCUAACGAUCUUCAGAACACGUACGGAAAUUCUCGUGAACCGUGUCGUGAGGCGGCCAAAGCAUCACUGAAGUGCCUAGACAGAAACAACUAUGAUAAACUGAAGUGCCAGCUGACUUUCGAUGCUUACAAGCUCUGCAAAAGAGAUUGGAAUGCAGCAAGAGCUGAGAAGAGAAGGCAAGGACUACCACCAUUGACAGUGGAAGAAUUUAGACAGAAAUAUCCUGCAGUCAAAUACGUUAUAAACAAAGAGACAAAACCAUAAAUUGGUCAUAUACAUGUACUCUCAAUUCAGUUCUAUGGAUUGUAUAUUUUCUUUGAUAUUAACAGCUUUCUUUCUCUCCUUAUGUGCUUUUGAUAAAAUAGAUGACAUUGAAUACAUGACAAGCUACGACUCAUGAGCAAAUGAGAUGGAUUGUUCAACAAAAAAUCAAAAAGCAGUUCCAACUUAUAAUCUAGGAUAGUUGGUGUGCAAGAAUAAUAAAUUGCUUGAUAACCUGUUUACAAACAGUCA